rnacentral:rRNA from 1 species
GGAAUAUUGCACAAUGGGGGAAACCCUGAUGCAGCGACGCCGCGCGAGUGAAGAAGUAUCUCGGUAGGUAAAGCUCUAUCAGCAGGGAAGAAAAAAAGCCUUUGGCUUUUGACGGUACCUGACUAAGAAGCCCCGGCUAACUACGUGCCAGCAGCCGCGGUAAUACGUAGGGGGCAAGCGUUAUCCGGAUUUACUGGGUGUAAAGGGAGCGUAGACGGCAGCGCAAGUCUGGAGUGAAAUGCCGGGGCUCAACCCCGGAACUGCUUUGGAAACUGUGCAGCUAGAGUGCGGGAGAGGUAAGCGGGAUUCCUAGUGUAGCGGUGAAAUGCGUAGAUAUUAGGAGAAACACCAGUGGCGAAGGCGGCUUGCUGGACCGUAACUGACGUCGAGGCUCGAAAGCGUGGGGAGCAA